GAAAAAAAGCAUGUGUUUCCUUUUCUUUCUUUUUUUUCUGUGGAUGCUGGAAGAUUUUCUUGUCGGGAAAAAAAAAACGGACGGUAAAACAUUGUGGGCUAAGUGAUUCCAUACAUCUCCUCUGCUUUGUGUGGUGUGCUUCACACAACGCAUUCAGACUUACGCAAAACGCGGUUCCAUUUUUUUUCACAUGUUCCUGUUAUUGCAGCAUUUUUUUUUUUUGUGUUGUUUUUUUUUUUCAAUGGAUAGAGCUACCGUUUCAACAUUAGUCAGCAUGUGUACAGUCCAUAGCUGCGAUUUCUUUGGAAGAAAUUUACAAAGCGAGACACAUCGGGCGCAUACACAGCUCCAGCACUUAACAACUCUUCCCCUCUGCCUUCCUUCUCCUGUGAUUUUGCAAAGCAAACAAACAUCAUUUCGAGUGAUUCUUCACAAUCCAGCCCCUCUCUGCCUCUGUAGUCUGCUUGAACCCGACUUGCUUGCGCUUGUCAGAGGAUCUGCUUUAAUCGCUCGGCGCUACCAUGUGAUGUUCAAGGCCUGCUCCUCCUCCCAGCCAUCUCGCCUCUUUAUCUGUCAAUCACAAGAGCUUGAAAAAAACAUUAAGCCUUUAUUUCAAGAGCUGCCUGAUCAAUAUCAUCAAUUCAUCCACCACCCCUUCUCGUACCCCCCCCCAACACACACGUGUUCUCUCUCGUCAUCUCUCCCCAUCAUUCCCUUUCUUUUCUUCUCUCUCUCUCCCUCGUUUCUCCCCCUCUCCCUCUCUCUCUCUCUCUCUUUCUCUCUCUCUCUCUCUCUCAGUUGCUGCAGCUGUAUCCAUUUCCUCCUGGCAAAAAGGGACUUUAUGAAUAAAUGAUACUGAAUUGCUGAAGGUUCAGAUACUAAAUAAUGAAUUUCACCACCAAAAACACAACAACUUCUCCAAUCAUAAAAUAGCUCUCCCCUUCCAUAUUGAUUGUGCUUGUGCAACCAGAUGCACAGAGAGCACAGUCUGCAUCCGUGCAAGGUAGAGGACCAUACGGGGGGGAAAAGUGUGCAAAAAUCAUACGGAUCUACAUGCUUUCUUUUUCCUUUUUUUUUUUUUUUGCUUUUUUAAACGGUAGAUAUCUGAUAAGAGAGGCUAACAGAUGGGUGCCGGUGGCAGGCACACUUUCCCUGAGCUCCUAUCUCAUCUUCGUCGAAACACUGGAGUUGGAGUGAGGGAGGUGGAGGAAAAAAAAAAUCUGAAAACUUUUCUUCACGGGACAUUUAAACACCGCCUCUCAAACCGGGUCCCCGGCGAUGGAGGGCUGCCGCGGCGGAUUACUGAGCAAAUAUGAGUGGGAAAUGAGUGCAGAUCUGGGGAUCUACCCAUCCGCAUCCCAGGGGGCAGGUGAAGAGGGAGGAGACGCAGGAGGAGAGUGGCCUUUUUGAAAACUGCAUCAGUGCAAUAAUGCCCCUGAAACCUGAAACCUCUUAUUGGAUCGGAAGGGCAGUAUGAGACAGCCAUCCUCCAGCAUCUACCCCUGCUUAAAGGGAAGGAGAGGCGAAAAAGCCUUCCAGCAGAGCCCAGUCCGGCUCAGCUCCUCUCCCCGUGCGCCUGUCCGCCUCGUCUCCGCCGAGGCCGGCUGACCGGCCGCCAGCCAGACCGACGGCUGUCCAGCACCGACGCUGCUGGAGCGCGAUGCAGGCGGGAGCAGCCGGCUGCCUGGUGGCCUCUGACAUUUGCUGUGGAGAGAGGUGGUGUGCUCAGCCCCUCUUGUUCUGCUGCUGCGAUCGAGCUCCAGGGUCCUGACCUGCCUAUUAGAGGGAAACAGUCAAGAGAGGAUGUCACAGAGAAGCCAGCCAAACAACAAAGUCCUCUUUUACUCUGAAGAAGACAACCAUCUCAGUGAGAUAAAGCUGUCAGAUUAUGUCUGUGAAUAAUGAUGCUGUCUCCAAAGCGGAACGGGAUACUCUGCUGAGAAGUUAUUUGUCAUCGAUUCCUGAUGAGACCAGAGACCGUUCCAUCAUCAACCACCGCAAGCUUCCACACGUUGUCUGAAAGUCACAUGAUGUUAACGUAAAACACUAAAUGAAAGCAUUCGUUUAGAGGAAGAAGGGUACACUUUUUGAUUUAGCCCACAAUUUGACCUACUAUCAUCUGCAGUACAAAUCUCAAAGAUGAAUAAGUUAUACACUUCCUCGAACGGUUUGACUGAAGGCUAGAAGAAGGACUUUUGACCAGAAAACAUGAACAAAUGGUAGUUUUGAAAAAUGUCCUCUUUAAAAAGCGAAUCCAAAUGUCAGAGAGACAGAUCCUUUACACACAGAGAGCGCUGCCUUCUGGGCAUCAGGCAGAAAAGCGUCUGAGUGUUAUUAUUUUUCCCAGUCGGAGCAAACUGCAAUUACCCCUCAUCAAGCACAAAAAGCACCACGCUUGCACUUCUUUAGCCUGGAGAGGAAACUUGGUCACUGUUUGCAGAAUCAUACAAGGAAGGCUCAGCAAAAGCGAUGAAGGUUACCAGGAGCAGAUAUCCUGAAUCUAUGUCACUAUGAAUAGUCAGAUAAUAAAAGUCCACUCACAACUUAGUUAUUCACCACUGUUUCCAUACCUCCAAGACCUACUGUGAAUGAGUCUUGCACAGUCUCUGAUGUGAGCUUUUAAUCUUUAUGCAUUUGUACACAGAAGAUAGCUGAAAUGUUAAUAUCAAUUAAAUUAAACAUUUUACACUAUGA